UAAGGGCUCACCAAGGCGACGAUCCCUAGCUGGUCUGAGAGGAUGAUCAGCCACACUGGAACUGAGACACGGUCCAGACUCCUACGGGAGGCAGCAGUGGGGAAUAUUGCACAAUGGGCGCAAGCCUGAUGCAGCCAUGCCGCGUGUAUGAAGAAGGCCUUCGGGUUGUAAAGUACUUUCAGCAGUGAGGAAGGUGGUGAUGUUAAUAGCAUCAUCAUUUGACGUUAGCUGCAGAAGAAGCACCGGCUAACUCCGUGCCAGCAGCCGCGGUAAUACGGAGGGUGCGAGCGUUAAUCGGAAUUACUGGGCGUAAAGCGCAUGCAGGUGGUUUGUUAAGUCAGAUGUGAAAGCCCGGGGCUCAACCUCGGAAUUGCAUUUGAAACUGGCAGACUAGAGUACUGUAGAGGGGGGUAGAAUUUCAGGUGU
rnacentral:rRNA from 1 species